UUGAAGUCAGAAGUCAUUGGGCGGAAGUGGAGAAACAACACUUGCUAAAAGAAAUUCCUUUUAGCAACUCAAUAUUAGGCUUUGGAGUUUUUUUAGCCAGAGUUGUUUUCCCUCUUCUCAACUCUGUAGAUCUGCAGAACUUUAUUUCUCUAUUUAUGCCUUUUUCACUUUUUUUGUUGAGUAAAAGUUAUUUUUUCGGGAUCUGUUCAGAUAUUUUCCUUAUUCCGUUUGGGGAUCACUGAGAAGUUCAUUUCAUCUAAUAUAGGUUGAUUCCUACGGCGAAAUUGAAUUAGUGUUUCCAAUUUCUCGUCUCCUCAAUUUUUUUUUGUUUCAGUUUAGGUUGCUUGAGCUUGCUAACUGUAUUCUUCAUUUUUUUUUGUGAGCGCGUACUGGUCAGGAUGAUGAAGAAGACUAUAAACAACCAAGCCAUGGAACUGAGCUACCUGCUUGAAAAAAUUGAUACAGUAAGUGCUAUUCUACAUUCAGAUUUAUUCUUAUUGAUUUGACUAUUGAGCUUGCUGCUUUGUUUUUUCACACUAUGAAGUUACUCUCCCGUUUACUAACGACAUUAGCUGUUCCUGCUCAGCCAUACCACCUAGUAGUAAAAGAAGACUUGUAGAAUAAACAUUUACAGAGAACAUAACUGAUACAAGGCAUCACUGUUCUGUUUUAAUAUUUGGACCUUCCACUGGUUAAGAAGACUGGGCGUUUUCAUUAACAAGUAGACAACAAUUAGUAUAGUGAUUGUUGUUGACUUGUUGACGCUUUCCCCUUUCUGUGAUAAUCUAUUGCUUUGAAUUCUCAAUUAUCCCCAACCAUAAAGUGAAGGGAAGGCCAAAGUGGUUAAGAUGAUCCUAAUUCCUAAGAACCAAAAGUCAUGCAAUUGACUUGAAAUAAAAUUUUCUAUUAAUUUUGUUUUACAAGAGGAUGCAACGUAUUGAUUCACACAAACUUAGGAUGUAUUUAAUUGGAUAUUCAUGAAUGAGCAUGGCUAAAGAGUAAGGUUCUGAAGUACCAAACAAUCUCCCCUUUGUCAUUCUUUGAGAAGUAUAAUUAUAACCACUUGCACUUAGACAUCUAUAUUAAUAAAACAUUCUUUAGCAUCCUUAAACCAACUAGCUGACAUGUACAUAAGAUGAAGGAUGGUAUUAUGUUUAUUUGUGGACCACUAUAAAAGAAGAAACAUACAAACUCCUUAAAGAUUGUACCCAGUUUUGAAAUAUACAAGCAGUGGAUCUACUUGAUGAACACUGAUUCAUUAAGUAUUUCCCUUUUGGUCAUGCACUAAGGAAUGAAUCACAAGAACAACACAUCCAUUUAACACAAACGAGGGGCUCUUAUUCUCUGGACGAUAUAAAUUAAAGGACACAGGGAGUUGCCUUGGGUAUAGCAAACCAACCCUCCCAAGAAGGUAACUAUGUCUAAUUAGAACAUUACUGACCAAAUGACAAUGUCGACUUAGGAUAGAAGGUGCCUCCCUUUAACACAAAAUAAUAUACUAUUAACAAAUAUGAGUUUCUAACUGAGUAGAGGUAAGCUUAUAUUUUAUAUCACCAAAUUGUGAACUCAUGAAAAGCUUAAAAUAUGCAUAUUCCGGAGUCAAACAAACAAAUGAUGUCCCACUUAUGAACAAGAUCAAGAUGAAUGCCCUAUUAUUAUUUUAUUUUUGGUGUAAAGAGGAAUUUACCGUCAAUACUGAAUCUAUCCUAGAGAUUUUAGAAUCCUUGUAAGUUGUAUAGGAUAUAUGACUAAAUGGAAAGUUAGCUCAAAAGAACGACUUUAAAUGUUGGCAUGAGUUUAGCAAGAAUAGAAAUUAACAGUCAUGAGAUAGAAUUCUGAUAGAAACUUUCGAAUUGAAUUUAACACGAAACUUACAUAUUACUGAAAUUACAUUAAAAAGGGAAAACAUUAUGUGAGCUGAUUGCUUCCCUGUUCUUAUUUACUGUAUUUUAGUGUCCAGGUUCAAAAGGAAAAUUCUGCCCCUGUUGCGGUCAAGGAAAAUUAUUGGGCGUGAAAGAUAAGAUGUGUAUUACACUAUUACAAACUUGUAAGUCACCACUGAUUCAAGAUAUGAUCAUGACAAAGCAGCCUAUAAUUUUUAAGGCUUUGAUUCAGCGGCAGAAGUCAUGGUUAACGGGCGAAAACCAUGAUCAAGACUAGCUUUCCACACUCUUUCAAUAUCAAACAUCAUAUUACCACACUCAUUCUCAUUCCAGCCUUCCAAUGCGUGCAAAAUCCCUGCUAUUCUUGAUGCACUCAUCACCCUUCUUGGUAGCCAGUUCUGGGGUUAUAAUAUUAGUCAUAAGUUUACUUUAAUUAUCCGAAAAGAUCAAACAAAAAAUUUAGGAAUUUAAAAUUAUCUUCUCUAACCUCACAAGAGUCUACAUUUUCAAGUUGUUUUGGGAUAGUCAUGGCUGGUGUGCUGAAGUAGAUGCAAUCCUUGCGAGCUUUCCUUGGUGGAAACUGUGAAAAAGGAAUAAACAAUGUUCCUUUUGGUGCUUUCAAUUGUUCAUCUUCACUCAAUCUGUCCCCUACUAGCCAUAUCUGCAAUACAAUACUUCAAUCAAGAACUAUUUUCUGCGAGACCGUGGGGUGAGGGAGAGGGAGAGGGAGAGGGAGAGGGAAGAGUUCUCUUUUUUUGUUUGAAUUUUUUGAAAUCUAAAAUGGUUCAGAGGUCAAUUAUGAAUUAGUCUGGAUUAGGAGAGAAGGGGGAGGGGAAUGGAGUUGUUAUAAAUUAUCAAGAUUCAGGAAAGUAUUAUCUGAUGUAUUAUGGUUUAUACCUUUGACGCAUUAGUCUUUGAAAGGACCAAAUUGGUAGCAACCUUGGGGGUAAGCCUUGCUUUAAGUCUCUUGAACUCUUCUCCGUCUAACAUGACAACCUAUAUGUUAAAAAAAUUCAAUGAAUGAAAGUCUGGGAAACCAAAAUCAUGGAGGAGAUUAAGUGCAAGAUACCUGAAUUCCUCUUUGGCACAAGACAAGGGCAAUGGAGCAAGAAACUUUGGACAAACGACCUCUAAGGACCACUUGGGAAGUUCCUUUAGGAAUGUUGUUUAGGACCACAGCAACAACUAGACUACUUCCAUCAACCACUUUCACUUUCAACUGCGGAUGCCUCCUUAUGUAAAGUUCACCGUUAUUAUUCAGCUCCUCUUCCUGUUAGAACGUUACAUUGUGUGACAUUGUAAGUAUCAACUGGAACCCUCUUUCGUCCAGCCAACAAACAUUGGAUAUAAGGUGUUGGGAGAAUUUUUUUUAAAUUCAUUUUCUCCCUAAUAGUGAAUAUCUGCCAUAGCUAACAGAAUGUUUUUCUCAGAAAAUUGCAUUUUAGGUAGAGAUCAUGCAUUUUUCUUAUAUAUAAAGUAAGGAUGAGAAUUAUUCGAUUUUCUAUUGUCUUUACUUACCUGAUUUAGGAGUCCAAGGCUCAAAACUUUUAUGCCUUUCAGAUCAGCUUCCAUGAUGGCUUCCUCAAUCAAAUUGUUAAUAGUAUCUCUUUGCCCUUGCAUAAAGUACUGAACAAAAUAAAAAAUUAGGUCAACUAGUCUUUAAUAAUGUAUCCAGAACAUACAAGUCAUGAUUAACAAUAAUUUCUUACUUGUUUCCUGUAUUUUGGGAUAGCCCAAGUUUGUAAUUUAAGAUUCCUGAAUAAAUUUCUCUCAACAACAAAUGUUUGACCAUAAAUCCAAGUAAUAAAAAACGACCAUAGGGUAACGGGCCACAUUAACCAAAAAUACCACUUGGAAGCGUGAGGCGUCGAGGCCAAGGAUGCAAACCCUAGUCGGAGAUGGUAGAUAGAUUCAGGGGUUGUUAGAUGUGUUAGGUGCACCACAUCAGGCAAUUCAGCUUUCCUCUCAAGUGACUUUUCAUACAAUGUAUCUGACGACUUGUCCACUGUACCAUACAGAUAGUCAUACAUUGGCAUGAAAAGUGAAUAAUUUGUUCUAAAUUGAGUGUGAUGUAGCGAGUGAUACCUGUGCCAUCAAAGAAUUGACAUUAGUUGUAAUAAAUAAAACAAAAUCAUCAGGGAUUACUAGUCUGCCUAGUCAGUAUGAAAAAAAUACAUUUGAAGGAAGACUUCUAUUUCCAUUUUCCCUUUUAUUUCCUGGUGAACUAAACUUGGAUACAAAAUUUCUGUUCACUGAGGCGUCUAACUUUGUACAGAAGUACCAAAAUUGCAUCUUUUUUGUCACUUCUAAUUAAACUGCUCUGCUACCUUCUAGAUAUGCAUGAAUAAAUACGUCUCGGGGUCCCUGAAUGUGAAGAAACAUUAAUGUUCUGGAAGUAAAAAAAUGAAAAAGUUAUUUGUGUAGAUUAUCUUUGUCGAUCCAGUUUCCAAAGAGAUCCAAAAGUGGGGGAUUGUGCAUUUGAGCCUUUUACUUUGCACUUUUCCUUCAAAUUAGUGUUUCCUGAUCAGUCAUCUCCAAACCAAACUUCCAAAACAACUUCCCUCUUCCUUUCUGUUUCUUUUUUUUUCUCCAUGGAUAUAAUAAUAUUUUGUGGCCAACGAACUUUAUCCACUGUAAAAGUAAGUCACCUUAUUUGGUAGGUUUUGUCAUUGGGUAAAGUUUAGUGACUUUACUAUUGUAGCGAGUAAAUUUCAACUACUUUAAUGUAACAAAAAAGUUAUGUGACUUUACUGUUAUAGUCGGUAAAGUUUAGUUACUUUACUGUUCUACCGGGUACAGUUAAGUUGCUUUAGCGCGACAAAACAAUUUCUAACUUUACCAUUAUAAUGAAUAAAGUACGUGAAAUUUAACCCUUAAAAGUUUCUAGUAAAUUUCUUUUACUUGUAACUGUUUCGAAUUAUAUUUGUUCACCCAAAUAAAUUCCGAUGAUAUUUCAAAUCCCUGUUAAAGAUAGCCAUUGCAAAUGAAAGUUGAACAUGAAAAGACACAGCAGGGUGAAAAAACACAUGGUGGGUGAAGUCUUGUCAAGGCAAAGACAAACAAACGUCUAAAGCAUAGUUGAUGCUAUAACUAUAAAAGUUUAAAUAUAGGGAAAACAGACUCACGAGGGCGUAUAUAUCAAGUACUUGAGAGGGGGAAACAUAGAGAACAUCCACUUAGGAAUGAGCUCAAAGUUGCAAUGCCCCAUGUUGUUCAUGAAAUCAACGUAAGUGAUGUACGCACCAAAUGCAGCUAUAGAAGCAGUUCCAGUGAAAAAAGUUGUGACCCCCGGUAUAAGAAAGAGCGUGUAAUAUGCUAUGAUCUCAGCAAACGGAUGAAUAACAGCUGCAACAAUAAAAAACUUUGCUUUGUAAUUAUUUGCAGAUAGGUCAUUGAUUGUCUUUGAAAUUAAACUGAAACCAAGUGACCUAUAAGCCAGCAGGCAGGUCUUUAAUAUGCAGAAAGCCAAUCUACAAAGUACUUAUAUUCUCAUCCAUCCCAUUUAAAUCAUAUAUAUGAGUGACAGCCAUUCUACAAGAUCUUUUUAACAUUAUCUACUGACUACUGUCGAUAUUAUUUUCUAGGUUACUAUGUCAGGCUUAAUAUAAGCUCCUUGUAAUAUCUGAUGUAUUUUCUCCAAGACUGAUUGUUCUUCCUCUAGAAAACUACAUCAAAUUAAACAUAUGAUACAAAACGUUUACGAAGACGACUUACAAGUGAUGGGCUCAGUAACAAUGGAGGAGUGAUGAUGGGAAUGAUAACGAG
rnacentral:lncRNA from 1 species